rfam:Aedes aegypti strain Liverpool supercont1.373 genomic scaffold, whole genome shotgun sequence.
CUUCUUGUGGUGUAGGGGCAACGCGCCCUAUUUAGUGAACAAGGAGUCGUGAGUUCGAUUCUCACCGAGAAGA